AUUGAACGCUGGCGGCAGGCCUAACACAUGCAAGUCGAGCGGAUGACGGGAGCUUGCUCCUUGAUUCAGCGGCGGACGGGUGAGUAAUGCCUAGGAAUCUGCCUGGUAGUGGGGGACAACGUUUCGAAAGGAACGCUAAUACCGCACACGUCCUACGGGAGAAAGCAGGGGACCUUCGGGCCUUGCGCUAUCAGAUGAGCCUAGGUCGGAUUAGCUUGUUGGUGAGGUAAUGGCUCACCAAGGCGACGAUCCGUAACUGGUCUGAGAGGAUGAUCAGUCACACUGGAACUGAGACACGGUCCAGACUCCUACGGGAGGCAGCAGUGGGGAAUAUUGGACAAUGGGCGAAAGCCUGAUCCAGCCAUGCCGCGUGUGUGAAGAAGGUCUUCGGAUUGUAAAGCACUUUAAGUUGGGAGGAAGGGUUGUAGAUUAAUACUCUGCAAUUUUGACGUUACCGACAGAAUAAGCACCGGCUAACUCGGUG
rnacentral:rRNA from 1 species